rnacentral:rRNA from 1 species
AAUUUAUUUUAUUAAAAGAAAUUUUCUAUUAUUUGAUUUUUUUGGUUUAAUAAUUAAAAUUCUAUGGGGAUGAGCUGGUGGAAUUAAUUUAAAUUUUUAAUUUUUAAAAUGAGUAGUAGGAUUAAAAUUUUCUUUCUUUUUAGUAUUUUAUAAUUUAUCAUUUUUUAAUUAUUAUUUUCUACUUAAUUAAGUUUUUUAUAAAAAUGUUAUUGUUAAUUUUUUAUUUUUAGUAAUAAUUAUGUAAUUAGUAAAGUUAACUUUAAAUUUAUUUUAUUGGCUAGGUAAGUUUAAGGAAUUCGGCAAAUAGUUUUUCGCCUGUUUAAUAAAAACAUGGUCUUUUGAAUUUGAUUUAAGAUCUGACCUGCCCGCUGAAGAUUUGAAUGGCCGCGGUAAUUUAACUGUGCGAAGGUAGCAUAAUCAAUAGUUUCUUGAUUGGAAGCUGGAAUGAAUGGUUGGACGAGAAAACUGCUGUCUCAGGUUUAAUUUUUUUGAAUUUUAUUUUUGAGUCAAAAAGCUUAAAUAUAAUUAAAAGACGAGAAGACCCUAUAGAGUUUUAUUUAAUUAAUUUUUUUAUAAUUUAAGAGAGUUUAAAGGAUUUAUUAAAUUUUGUUGGGGUGACAUUAAGAUUAAAUUAACUCUUAAAUAUUAAUUUCAAUUAUUAUUGUUUUUUUGAUCCAAUUUUUUUGAUUAAUAGAUUAAAUUACCUUAGGGAUAACAGCGUUAUUUUUCUUGAGAGCUCUUAUCGAAAGAAAAGAUUGCGACCUCGAUGUUGGAUUAAAAUAAAC